rnacentral:rRNA from 1 species
UACGGAGGGGGCGAGCGUUAUUCGGAAUUAUUGGGCGUAAAGGGCGCGUAGGCGGCUGUACAAGUCAAAGGUGAAAUCCCUCGGCUCAACUGAGGAACUGCCUUUGAAACUGUACGGCUUGAGGCCGGGAGGGGGUAGCGGAAUUCCCAGUGUAGCGGUGAAAUGCGUAGAUAUUGGGAGGAACACCGGUGGCGAAGGCGGCCCUCUGGACCGGUACUGACGCUGAUGCGCGAAAGCGUGGGUAGCAAACGGG